AGCGAACGCUGGCGGCAGGCCUAACACAUGCAAGUCGAACGAACCUUUCGGGGUUAGUGGCGGACGGGUGAGUAACACGUGGGAACGUGCCUUUAGGUUCGGAAUAAUUCAGGGAAACUUGUGCUAAUACCGAAUGUGCUCUUCGGGGGCAUGAUUUAUCGCCUUUAGAGCUGCCCGCGUCUGAUUUGCUAGUUGUUUGAGGUAAUGGCUCACCAAGGCGACGAUCAGUAGCUGGUCUGCGAGGAUGAUCAGCCACAUUGGGACUGAGACACAGCCCAAACUCCUACGGGAGGCAGCAGUAGGGAAUCUUGCGCAAUGGGCGAGAGACUGACGCAGCCAUGCCGCGUGAAUGAUGAAGGUCUUAGGAUUGUAAAAUUCUUUCACCGGGGACGAUAAUGACGGUACCCGGAGAAGAAGCCCCGGCUAACUUCGUG
rnacentral:rRNA from 1 species